AAGACCCUGCGCUUUUGGAGCGGCCGAUGUCUGAUUAGCUAGUUGGUGGGGUAAUGGCCUACCAAAGCUUCGAUCAGUAGCUGGUCUGAGAGGACGGCCAGCCACACUGGGACUGAGACACGGCCCAGACUCCUACGGGAGGCAGCAGUGGGGAAUUUUGGACAAUGGGCGCAAGCCUGAUCCAGCCAUGCCGCGUGAGUGAAGAAGGCCUUCGGGUUGUAAAGCUCUUUCAGCCGGGAAGAAAAGGUUGCGAUUAAUAAUCGCAAUUGAUGACGGUACCGGAAGAAGAAGCACCGGCUAACUACGUGCCAGCAGCCGCGGUAAUACGUAGGGUGCGAGCGUUAAUCGGAAUUACUGGGCGUAAAGGGUGCGCAGGCGGUUUUGUAAGUCAGAUGUGAAAUCCCCGGGCUUAACCUGGGAACU
rnacentral:rRNA from 1 species